rnacentral:lncRNA from 1 species
UGGCACUCUUCGUCUCGUUCCAUGGAUUAUCUCUCGAGCUAUGUCUUUCUUGUGCAAAUUGUUAAACUUCAUGUGUCUCCCUCUUUAUCUCCAUUCUUGUUGUUAUUCUUCACUCUUUUACUUCAAGCCUGAAUCGUGAAGAUAACGGGAUUGCUUCCCCCGAGCUGAAUGUUGACAUAGUCUUUAAUCUUGAAUCCGCACAACACAGAUGUUCUUCAAUAUUCUUGAGCUUCAAAAUGUCAGUGAUGAUUGCAGCGCUUCCAAGUUGAUGAAGAUAUCGUGAUCAUUGGGGAUUCUCUCUUUAAAUCAUGUUAAACUCAAAUAGACAACAAAACUUGUGGCACCGAUUAAACAUUAGUAGUUGGCCACUUAAGCCUUAGUUGUCCAAGCUUUUUAGAUUUUUCUUAAUUCUUUUUCUAAGCAG